GAGGGUAGAGCUUAGUGGUAGAGUGCAUGCUUAGCAUGCACGAGGUCCUGGGUUCGAUCCCCAGUAGCUCCA
rnacentral:tRNA from 1 species